rnacentral:rRNA from 1 species
UACAGAGGGUGCAAGCGUUAAUCGGAAUUACUGGGCGUAAAGGGCGCGUAGGCGGAUUGAUAAGUUAGAUGUGAAAAGUCAGAGCUUAACUUUGGCCGUGCAUUUAAGACUGUCGAACUAGAGUAGAGUAGAGGGAAGUGGAAUUUCCGGUGUAGCGGUGAAAUGCGUAGAUAUCGGAAAGAACAUCAGUGGCGAAGGCGGCUCACUGGACCGGUACUGACGCUGAGACGCGAAAGCCAGGGGAGCAAACGGG